rnacentral:rRNA from 1 species
UACGUAGGGUGCAAGCGUUGUCCGGAAUUAUUGGGCGUAAAGAGCGUGUAGGCGGCCAAGCAGGUCCGCUGUGAAAACUCGAGGCUCAACCUCGAGACGUCGGUGGAAACCGUUUGGCUAGAGUCCGGAAGAGGAGAGUGGAAUUCCCGGUGUAGCGGUGAAAUGCGCAGAUAUCGGGAGGAACACCCGUGGCGAAGGCGGCUCUCUGGGACGGUACUGACGCUGAGACGCGAAAGCGUGGGGAGCGAACAGG